rnacentral:sRNA from 1 species
GUCAUAGCAGGUAGCUGACAGCAUCUACUCCUGAAGACCGGAAACAUGGCUUGUACCAUCCAAAAGGCAGAAGCACUUGACGGGGCUCAUUUGAUGCAGAUCCUCUGGUAUGAUGAGGAAGAGUCUCUCUACCCAGCUGUAUGGUUGAGAGACAACUGCCCGUGCUCUGAUUGCUACCUGGAUUCUGCAAAAGCACGGAAACUUCUAGUGGAAGCUCUUGAUGUGAACAUUGGAAUUAAAGGCUUGAUAUUUGACAGAAAAAAGGUGUACAUCACAUGGCCCGAUGAGCAUUACAGUGAAUUCCAGGCUGAUUGGCUGAAGAAAAGAUGCUUUUCCAAGCAGGCCAGAGCAAAGCUCCAAAGAGAAUUGUUUUUUCCAGACAUACUUGGCAAGUGCAAGACAAAAUCGAUGCAAACAAUGUGGCUUACACAACUGGGAAGCUAAGCUUUCACACUGAUUAUCCAGCCCUCCAUCAUCCACCUGGGGUUCAGCUUCUUCACUGCAUAAAGCAAACAGUCACAGGGGGUGAUUCAGAAAUUGUAGAUGGGUUUAAUGUGUGCCAAAAACUAAAGAAAAAUAAUCCUCAGGCAUUCCAGAUUUUGUCCUCUACCUUUGUGG